rnacentral:rRNA from 1 species
GACGAACGCUGGCGGCGUGCUUAACACAUGCAAGUCGAACGGAAAGGCCCUGCUUUUGUGGGGUGCUCGAGUGGCGAACGGGUGAGUAACACGUGAGUAUCCUGCCCUUGACUUUGGGAUAACUUCAGGAAACUGGGGCUAAUACCGGAUAGGAGCUCCUGCUGCAUGGUGGGGGUUGGAAAGUUUCGGCGGUUGGGGCUGGACUCGCGGCUUAUCAGCUUGUUGGUGGGGUAGUGGCUUACCAAGGCUUUGACGGGUAGCCGGCCUGAGAGGGUGACCGGCCACAAUGGGACUGAGAGACGGACCAGACGGCAACGGGAGGCAGCAGUGGGGAGUAUGACACAGUGGGCGGAAGCGUGAUGCAGAAACGCCGCGUGCGGGAUGACGGCUUUCGGGGUGUAAACCGCUUUGGCCGGUGACGAAGAGUGAGUGACGGUAAUGGGUAAAGAAGCACCGGCUAACUACGUG